GCCAGGCACAGUGGCAUGUGCCUGUAGUCCCAGCUCUUUGGGAGGCUGAGGCUGGAGGAUCACUUGAGUCCAGGGGUUCUGGGUUGUAGUGCGCUAUGCCGAUCGGGUGUCUGCACUAAGUUCAACAUCAAUAUGGUGACCUCCCAGGAGCAGGGUACCACCAGGUUGCCUAAGAAGGGGUGAACUAGCCCAGGUCGGAAAUGGAGCAGGUCAAAACUCCUGUGCUGAUCAGUAGUGGGAUCGUGCCUGUGAAUAGCCACUGCACUCCAGCCUGGACAACAUCGGGAGACCCCUUUUCU
rnacentral:SRP_RNA from 1 species